GGGCAGCAUGGUCUUAGCUUGCUAAGACUGAUGGCGACCGGCGCACGGGUGAGUAACACGUAUCCAACCUGCCGUCUACUCUUGGACAGCCUUCUGAAAGGAAGAUUAAUACAAGAUGGCAUCAUGAGUCCACAUGUUCACAUGAUUAAAGGUAUUCCGGUAGACGAUGGGGAUGCGUUCCAUUAGAUAGUAGGCGGGGUAACGGCCCACCUAGUCUUCGAUGGAUAGGGGUUCUGAGAGGAAGGUCCCCCACAUUGGAACUGAGACACGGUCCAAACUCCUACGGGAGGCAGCAGUGAGGAAUAUUGGUCAAUGGGCGAGAGCCUGAACCAGCCAAGUAGCGUGAAGGAUGACUGCCCUAUGGGUUGUAAACUUCUUUUAUAAAGGAAUAAAGUCGGGUAUGCAUACCCGUUUGCAUGUACUUUAUGAAUAAGGAUCGGCUAACUCCGUGCCAGCAGCCGCGGUAAUACGGAGGAUCCGAGCGUUAUCCGGAUUUAUUGGGUUUAAAGGGAGCGUAGAUGGAUGUUUAAGUCAGUUGUGAAAGUUUGCGGCUCAACCGUAAAAUUGCAGUUGGUACUGGAUAUCUUGAGUGCAGUUGAGGCAGGCGGAAUUCGUGGUGUAGCGGUGAAAUGCUUAGAUAUCACGAAGAACUCCGAUUGCGAAGGCAGCC
rnacentral:rRNA from 1 species